rnacentral:rRNA from 1 species
GACAGAGGGUGCAAACGUUGCUCGGAAUCACUGGGCGUAAAGGGUGCGUAGGCGGGUCUUUAAGUCAGGGGUGAAAUCCUGGAGCUCAACUCCAGAACUGCCUUUGAUACUGAAGAUCUUGAGUUCGGGAGAGGUGAGUGGAACUGCGAGUGUAGAGGUGAAAAUUCGUAGAUAUUCGCAAGAACACCAGUGGCGAAGGCGGCUCACUGGCCCGAUACUGACGCUGAGGCACGAAAGCGUGGGGAGCAAACAGGG